rnacentral:misc_RNA from 1 species
UUAUUAAUUCUCUCUGAUUCUAAAAUUUGCAUGAGACUUCUGUGGUUGAUGGAUAUGCAAAGCACCUGAAGGCUGGAUUUUGAAUUUUGAUGUUACAAAUUCAAACAUUUGCCUCAACUAAACAUGAAGUUAGAUUCUGCAGAAGCAUAAUUCUUGUGCUUAUUUCAUAUACGAUUCUCAUGUUUGUCUUUAUACUGGCAAAUAAAUGAAUUUUCAUGAUUGCAUGUGUGAAAGAGGAUGCAUCCCCAAACAAUUGACUCAGAAGGUCCAUAUAGACUGCUUUAUUGUUCAUCUAAGGGCGACAAAACAGGGGUGAUGCAGGAGUUAGAAAAACACGUUGAACCCAAUUUGGCUGAUUAUGAUAAGAGAACAGCUCUUCAUUUAGCCUCUUGUGAAGGCUGCACUGAAAUUGUGGUCCUACUUCUUGAGAAAGGCGCCGAUGUGAAUUCUGUAGAUCGUUGGGGUCGCACCCCACUAUCAGAUGCUCGUAGCUUUGGCCAUGAGGAUAUUUGCAAGAUACUGGAAAGUCGGGGUGGAAUAGAUCCAGUAGGACUUGAUUCCCAGACACCAUGCUAUGAGAUCGAUUACAAUGAAGUGGGCAUGGAUGGUGCAACACUUAUUGGAGAAGGAGCGUAUGGUGAAGUUUAUUUAGUGAAGUGGCGUGGUACAGAAGUAGCAGCGAAAACUAUUCGCUCCUCUAUUGCAUCAAAUCAGAAAGUGAAGCAUACUUUUUUAAAGGAACUGGGCUUGUGGCAAAAGUUGCGCCACCCUAAUAUAGUGCAGUUCCUUGGUGUUCUAAAGCACUCUGACCGCUUAAUCUUCCUCACAGAGUAUCUUCGCAAUGGAAGUUUGUAUGACAUACUGAAAAAGAAAGGAAGACUUGAUUCACAAACAGCAGUUUCCUAUGCUUUAGAUAUUGCAAGGGGCAUGAAUUAUCUGCAUCAACAUAAACCGCAUGCUAUUAUACACCGGGAUUUGACACCAAGGAAUGUGCUGCAAGAUGAAUCAGGACACCUUAAGGUUACAGACUUUGGCCUAAGCAAAAUUGCACAGGAAAAGGAUGCUGGUUACAAGAUGACUGGUGGAACGGGUUCAUAUCGUUACAUGGCACCUGAGGUUUAUCGUCGAGAAUCCUAUGGGAAGAGUGUUGAUGUCUUCUCCUUUGCUCUUAUAGUACAUGAGAUGUUCCAAGGGGGACCAUCAAAUAGGGCAGAACUCCCAGAGCAAGUUGCUGACAAGCGGGCUUAUGAAGAUUCCCGUCCAUCCCUAUCCUCAAUUUUGUACCCUGAACCAAUCAAGAUGUGAGUUUUAAAUGAGUAUGAUAAUGGCAGUAGUAUGGAUCUUUUAAUUUGCAAAUACAUGCCACUGGAUAGAACUAAGCUAUAAGAAGGAAAGCCUUAGUAUAAUAAGGUAAGGUUGCUCCAUUGUGAGAUUGAGAUUACAUGUGCAAAUGAUGAAAAUGGCCUCUUUACAAUGCAAGGGAAGGCCAUGGAAGAUAUCCUUUGUUGUUAUGCUAUGAGGUUUUCUUUAAUUUGAUGAAAAUAGGCUCGGUCAACAGUUAGUUCCUAGAAUUUAUCAGGUGAUGGACGUGUCUUCAUCAGUAACCUGCCAACCUGCAGCUGUGAUUUUAUUAUUAUUAUUAACCAGUUUGAUUGAUUUGCUCAUGACUGUGCGUUGUCUUUCUUCAUUAAGGCUUCUCCGAGAGUGCUGGCAUAGGAACCCUGAAUGCCGACCUACAUUUGAGGAGAUAAUUUUAAGGCUGGAGAAUAUUGAAGACAAUUUGCGGCAUGAGAGACCUAUAAUUGGCUGCUGCGGAUGUAUUAUCUUAUGAGCAAUAGUUCAAUAUGUAGUCUAUGCUCAACAUACAGUGAUCACUGUAUUUGGUGCACGUUCUUCUUCACUGUGGACGUUUCUUUUUGUAAUGGACGUAAUGUCGCCUUUUCUUCUGUAUUAUGAUUUGUAAUGAUGGGUUGUGAAUAUCCUGGGAGAAGUUUCAUCUCCCAGCUGAUUGAUACCUUUGUACAAAACUCAUUCUGGGGAAUUAUAAUGGGCAUGCAAGUGUCACCAAAACUGUUGUUUCUAUUGGCUUUCUUAUUUGAAAAGGAAAAUGUUU